AUUGAACGCUGGCGGCAGGCCUAACACAUGCAAGUCGAGCGGAUGAAGGGAGCUUUCUCCUGGAUUCAGCGGCGGACGGGUGAGUAAUGCCUAGGAAUCUGCCUGGUAGUGGGGGAUAACGUCCGGAAACGGGCGCUAAUACCGCAUACGUCCUGAGGGAGAAAGUGGGGGAUCUUCGGACCUCACGCUAUCAGAUGAGCCUAGGUCGGAUUAGCUAGUUGGUGGGGUAAAGGCCUACCAAGGCGACGAUCCGUAACUGGUCUGAGAGGAUGAUCAGUCACACUGGAACUGAGACACGGUCCAGACUCCUACGGGAGGCAGCAGUGGGGAAUAUUGGACAAUGGGCGAAAGCCUGAUCCAGCAAUGCCGCGUGUGUGAAGAAGGUCUUCGGAUUGUAAAGCACUUUAAGUUGGGAGGAAGGGCAGUAAGUUAAUACCUUGCUGUUUUGACGUUACCAACAGAAAAAGCACCGGCUAACUUCGUG
rnacentral:rRNA from 1 species